GAGUUUGAUCAUGGCUCAGGAUGAACGCUAGCGAUAGGCUUAACACAUGCAAGUCGAGGGGCAGCAUAGAGUCAGCUUGCUGAUUUGGAUGGCGACCGGCGGAUGGGUGCGUAACGCGUAUGCAACUUACCUGUCAGAGGGGGAUAACCCGGAGAAAUUCGGACUAAUACCGCAUAUACUUGAGAUACUGCAUGGUGUUUCAAGGAAAUAUUUAUAGCUGACAGAUAGGCAUGCGUUCCAUUAGCUAGUAGGUGAGGUAACGGCUCACCUAGGCGACGAUGGAUAGGGGAACUGAGAGGUUAAACCCCCACACUGGUACUGAGACACGGACCAGACUCCUACGGGAGGCAGCAGUGAGGAAUAUUGGUCAAUGGGCGAGAGCCUGAACCAGCCAAUUCGCGUGAAGGAUGACUGCCCUAUGGGUUGUAAACUUCUUUAGUAGGGGAUUAAAGUUUGCCUUGCGAGGCAA
rnacentral:rRNA from 1 species